GACGAACCGUGCGAACGUUGUUCGGAAUCACUGGGCUUAAAGGGCGCGUAGGCGGGCGAGCAAGUCGAAGGUGAAAGCCCACGGCUCAACCGUGGAAGUGCCCCCGAUACUGCUCGUCUGGAGGGGGAUAGGGGCGUGCGGAACUUCCGGUGGAGCGGUGAAAUGCGUAGAUAUCGGAAGGAACACCGGUGGCGAAAGCGGCGCGCUGGAUCCCUACUGACGCUGAGGCGCGAAAGCCAGGGGAGCAAACGGG
rnacentral:rRNA from 1 species